rnacentral:tRNA from 1 species
GGUGAGGUAGCUCAGUUGGUCAGAGCACAGGAUUCAUAACCCUGAGGUCGUGGGUUCAAAUCCCACUCUCACCA